UACGUAGGUGGCAAGCGUUGUCCGGAAUUAUUGGGCGUAAAGCGCUCGCAGGCGGUCCGAUGCGUCGUGCGUGAAAGACCCCGGCUCAACUGGGGAGGGUCGUGCGAUACGGUCGGACUCGAGGCCAGUAGGGGGACGCGGAAUUCCGGGUGUAGUGGUGGAAUGCGUAGAGAUCCGGAGGAACACCAGCGGCGAAGGCGGCGUCCUGGACUGGUACUGACGCUCAGGAGCGAAAGCGUGGGGAGCGAUCCGG
rnacentral:rRNA from 1 species